rnacentral:rRNA from 1 species
GAGGCUUUGAAGUGUGGACGCCAGUCUGCAUGGAGCCGGCCUUGAAAUACCACCCUUUAAUGUUUGAUGUUCUAACGUGGACCCGUGAUCCGGGUUGCGGACAGUGUCUGGUGGGUAGUUUGACUGGGGCGGUCUCCUCCUAAAGAGUAACGGAGGAGCACGAAGGUUGGCUAAUCCUGGUCGGACAUCAGGAGGUUAGUGCAAUGGCAUAAGCCAGCUUGACUGCGAGCGUGACGGCGCGAGCAGGUGCGAAAGCAGGUCAUAGUGAUCCGGUGGUUCUGAAUGGAAGGGCCAUCGCUCAACGGAUAAAAGGUACUCCGGGGAUAACAGGCUGAUACCGCCCAAGAGUUCAUAUCGACGGCGGUGUUUGGCACCUCGAUGUCGGCUCAUCACAUCCUGGGGCUGAAGUAGGUCCCAAGGGUAUGGCUGUUCGCCAUUUAAAGUGGUACGCGAGCUGGGUUUAGAACGUCGUGAGACAGUUCGGUCCCUAUCUGCCGUGGGCGCUGGAGAACUGAGGGGGGCUGCUCCUAGUACGAGAGGACCGGAGUGGACGCAUCACUGGUGUUCGGGUUGUCAUGCCAAUGGCACUGCCCGGUAGCUAAAUGCGGAAGAGAUAAGUGCUGAAAGCAUCUAAGCACGAAACUUGCCCCGAGAUGAGUUCUCCCUGACCCUUUAAGGGUCCUGAAGGAACGUUGAAGACGACGACGUUGAUAGGCCGGGUGUGUAAGCGCAGCGAUGCGUUGAGCUAACCGGUACUAAUGAACCGUGAGG